UUUGUUACAGAAAUCUGAAAAAAAUAAAGAAAAAAAUACAGAAACUUCAAGGCGAAAGAAAGUUUAUUAUCCAGACGAACUGAUAUUCCACAAAGAUGAAGAAACAAUAUCAAGAUAAGAAUUCAUACUCAUACAUUACGCAAACAUAUACAAAUAUAAUAAUACUGGCCUGAAGUAUUUUCCUCUGCAUUUAAUUUCACACCCUUAAUCUUCCCUGAUUUUGUGAGUUUUCUCAUUUAAAAUAACCUGCUAGAAUGUAUGAAAAAAUAUAGUAUUAAAGUAAAUAGAAAAAACGAAUCUUUACAUUUGUUAAAAUCUAAAGAAUAAUAUGAUCAGUUUCAGAAAAAUUAAAACUCAACUUUAAGGUUCCACAAAAAUGAAGCUUCUGAGAAACAGUAAAUUCUACACUGUAAUGUGUUUCUGUUCAUUUGGCAAAAUGAGCAUUUAUUACAGCUCUUUUUAUAUAAGAGUUGCCCAACACAUAUCCAUUGGUUAUUACCCACAACUACUCUAAUAUCUGGAAAAUUCACAUCAUAACUACUGACAUUCUUCUCCUAGAAACUAUAAAAAGGAUUAAAAAAAUUUCUUUGAUAAUAUUUUACAACAUCAGACUUAUGUAU
rnacentral:lncRNA from 1 species